UGCAGUCGAACGGACCCUUCGGGGUUAGUGGCGGACGGGUGAGUAACACGUGGGAACGUGCCUUUAGGUUCGGAAUAGCUCCUGGAAACGGGUGGUAAUGCCGAAUGUGCCCUUCGGGGGAAAGAUUCAUCGCCUUUAGAGCGGCCCGCGUCUGAUUAGCUAGUUGGUGAGGUAACGGCUCACCAAGGCGACGAUCAGUAGCUGGUCUGAGAGGAUGACCAGCCACACUGGGACUGAGACACGGCCCAGACUCCUACGGGAGGCAGCAGUGGGGAAUCUUGCGCAAUGGGCGAAAGCCUGACGCACCCAUGCCGCGUGAAUGAUGAAGGUCUUAGGAUUGUAAAAUUCUUUCACCGGGGACGAUAAUGACGGUACCCGGAGAAAAAGCCCCGGCUAACUUCGUGCCAGCAGCCGCGGUAAUACGAAGGGGGCUAGCGUUGCUCGGAAUUACUGGGCGUAAAGGGCGCGUAGGCGGAUCGUUAAGUCAGAGGUGAAAUCCCAGGGCUCAACCCUGGAACUGCCUUUGAUACUGGCGAUCUUGAGUAUGAGAGAGGUAUGUGGAACUCCGAGUGUAGAGGUGAAAUUCGUAGAUAUUCGG
rnacentral:rRNA from 1 species